AUGGCUACGAAGAAAUACUUCUUCCCUUCUGGAUCCUUCACUAUAAAAGACGGUUCAGAAAUUAGAUUCUCGGAGGAUAAGUGGCUAGGCAAUGCUACACUCCAAGAACAAUAUCUGGCUUUAUACAAUAUUGUGCGUCACAAGGAUGAUACUAUCGCCACGGUUAUGAAAUCCUUUCUGUCAAAUGUGACAUUCAAAAGAGAUUUAGUUGGUCCCAGACUUGAAUCGUGGAACACUUUGUUACGGAGACUUUCCACAAUACAAUUGUCACAAGGAGCCAAUGAAUUUCGUUGGAACCUACACGUGAGUGGUAAAUUCACAGUGGACUCUAUGCAUAGAGCUCUAAUCCAGCCAGAGAUGCCAGUUGAUAAUAAUAAAAGAUUUGGAAGAUGA
rnacentral:rRNA from 1 species